UGAUUGGCUGGGAGAAACACAGGGAGCAAGCAGGGCUGACGAGGCUGGUACAGGGCAGGUGUUGAGGGAGGAGCAGGCUGGGGAAACCCAGUAAACUUUACCGCAGUCUUGCUUCCCUCUUGACCUUCAUCACAUCUUAUGCUUGAUCUGUCACCGUCUCGUCCUUUCCCAUACUGAGCAUCAUCACAUUUAACAUCUUAAGAGGAGGCGUGGCACCCCAGGACCCUGAAUGUACCACAUGUCGUUGCUUAUUACGAAGACGAAAAGUCAAAGUCAACAUUUUACAUCAAAUAUAUGCUGGCAAUAUUGUCCAUCAGGAGGGAGGGUAUUGAUGCAUCCACAUGUGUCAUCAGUGAUGUUGUCACAGGAUCCAUACAGGAAACACUGGUCACAUGACCAACGAUACUGAUCCUCACAUCUGCACUGGAAACCAGCACUGCUUGGAUAGCAAACUGGGGAGGGUUAAAGAAAAUAUCAAGAUCAUUUACAAAGAAAUCUUGUGUUGUUAUUGUUGAUAUACACAUAUAAGUUGUGAAUUUUGCAUGAAAUAAAUACACAUUUGUUGUACACAGGUAAAAAUGUUUAGCAGUGUAGAGGUGGUUCCGUUUUUUGUGUCACUCAGUGUAUUGUCUACCUUCUCUAUUGUUUUGCUUUGCUUUAACUGACCACAGAAUAAAUUGCUUAUCAGUACUUUUAG